UGUAAUUCCAUGCAUUCUUUAUUCCAUUAAGCAUUAAAACAUCCACUGUGUUACCUGAAAGCAACACAGUCAACAUGAAUGACAAUCUGUAGCACGGCACAUUUAAGGCUUUUUCUUUGUCAGUUUAACACUAAGAAACCUCUGUACCCACUAGUUUUUUUUAUGCAUUAGAUUUGCAUACUGUGACUCCAGUGUUAAACUCAAGUAGGCUAGAAUAGCCCUUAAAUCAAUGUUUUAUAUUAUGUAUAGAGGAUAUAUAGAUACAUUACAUAUGGUUCUGACAAACCAGCAUUAGUGUAAAUCUAUCAACAUUUACUGGAAAAGAACAUUGUAAAAAUGUCAGUAUCAAAACAAUAAAAUGGGACUAAAGCAGUUUUUCGUUCUUUAAAAAGACCAGCAGAAAAAACUAGAUGUUAAGUUAAAGGGCUUGUUGUGUCAAAACAUAGGCCCCUUAGUAAGUUAUGACGAGAAAACACUAGAAUCUUUUAUUCGUCACACGAAAACCCAACCACGACCGCAAAAUACAGCCAUCACCUCACAGCAAUACACUGUCAGUCAAAACAUUAAUCACAAGUUGCUACGCACAUAUCCUUCACUUAUACCUCCUCCUUCCAAGAGGACACUCCUUGAGCAGUGUAGUGUUUCUGUGUUGAUUAUUAUUCUUCUUUUACAGCUGAGAACAUUAGCAGAAGACUUCCAACCCAGUCAUUCCUCUGGCUUCUUCUCUCUGCACUCAAAUGUCCUUUAUGAAAAGUUGUUUGCAUGCAGUGUUUCUUCCAAAACGUAGUCUUGGUGACACUUGCAGAGUUCUUUGGAGUGAAACGAGAUGGGGAGCAGGGAAGGGGUCUGUUGGGGGGAAUCCCCCCUUUACCCCCAGACAAAAGGGAUACAGCCAGAAUCUGCAAAUGGUGGUGAGAUGGCUCAAAAAUCUCUCAUCUACAUGUGAAGACUCAUUGAGAUUGCAUUAGGUGAAGUACCUUUUUGACCAGUAUGACCCCAAAACAUCUUUUCACAGUGAUUGAGAAGAUUCCUCCAACCGAACCCAUAGCAGCAGUCAGUCCCCCUGCAGACCAUGAGACUCCCCAACUCAAGUCGACAGGAAUGUUAGGGUGAAAUGUCCACAGACUUAAGGCUUUAUUUGAAGUGUUGAAAUGAAAGGAACAGGUACAUACUGCCAAACAGCAACCCAAAGCAUUUACGUUAGACACAAUCUUAACUCUGAACAGACAAACAAAAUGGCUUCACGGAAAACUUCUGAACAAAAACAUCUACACUGGGGUGCUGGAUCCCAAAUCAACUCCUACGCCCAAGACAUACCUCUAGAUCUGAAAUGAAUGGAUAGGUCUUAGCAAUAUGGUAAAAAAAAAUCCUCCGAACAGCAAGGCAGAAAAACAUGAAUACUGCUUAAAAUCGGCUCCUUUCAGAUCUACACGGGUGUGUAGAGACAGUACUGGCUAGGGUGC
ensembl:lncRNA